rnacentral:rRNA from 1 species
AAUGAACGUUGGCGGCGUGGAUUAGGCAUGCAAGUCGAGCGAGAAGUUUAUUAAAGAUACUUCGGUUGAUUUUUUAAAUGGACAGCGGCGAAAGGGAGAGUAACGAGUAGAUACGUGCCCGAGGGUCCGGGAUAGCUGUUGGAAACGACAGGUAAUACCGGAUAAUGUUUCCGAACCAAAGAUUUAUUGCCCUCGGAUCGGUCUGCUUACUAUUAGGUAGUUGGUGGGGUAAUGGCUCACCAAGCCAAAGAUGGUUAGCGGGUGUGAGAGCAUGGCCCGUCUCACUGGGACUGAGACACUGCCCAGACACCUACGGGUGGCUGCAGUCGAGAAUCUUCCGCAAUGGGCGAAAGCCUGACGGAGCGACGCCGCGUGAUGGACGAAGGCCCUCGGGUUGUAAACAUCUGUCGUAGGGGAGGAAAUUUUGACCGAUCCUAGGAGGAAGCGCAGGCUAAGUUCG